rnacentral:rRNA from 1 species
UACGUAAGGGGCAAGCGUUGUCCGGAAUCACUGGGCGUAAAGCGCACGUAGGCGGCUUGAUAAGUCAGAGGUGUAAGCUCUAGGCUUAACCUAGAAAUUGCCUUUGAAACUAUCUCGCUUGAGGGUCAGAGGGGAAACUGGAAUUCACGGUGUAGCGGUGAAAUGCGUAGAUAUCGUGGAGAACACCCGUGGCGAAGGCGGGUUUCUGGCUGACAACUGACGCUGAGGUGCGAAAGCUAGGGGAGCGAACGGG